rnacentral:lncRNA from 1 species
GUUUAUUUAAGAUAAGCUUACACAGCAAUUUGGUGCCUAUGCAGAAAACUUAUUUUUUGAGACUUGGAUUCUGGUUUCUGCUUUGGUGUUUGCCUGGAAUGAUUAACAGGGCAGUGUCUUAACUUGUGCUUCAGUUUCUCUGUGUACAAAUUCCUAAUAUAUUUAAUUAUAAUUGCAGAUGGAAUAAUUGCAGAUGGGUUUCAAGAGUCCACGUGUUUCUGUUGAUACAAAAACUGUGCACUGGAAAAGUUAGACACAAAGGAUACUAUAUAAGAAGGAGAUGUUGGAACCUUUUCACCAGGUCUUGGCAGAUCUGUUGGGCUGUACCCUCAACAGAGGAGGGAUGUUCCAGUGCCCACAGACCUCUGUGACCUCUCAGAAAAGAUCAGCUCUGAGGAAAAUCAUCCAGGAUGUGCGUUGUACUGAGAACAAGAGAUGA